GCCUGCCUAGCUCAAUCGGAUAGAGCGUCAGACUUUUACGUUUAAAUAGGGCAUCUGAAGGCUGCGAGUUCGACCCUCGCGGUGGGCU